UAUCCAUGAUGUAGGCAUUGAUUUAACAAAUCUUUAAACCUCUCCUAGACCUGAUAGAAAGUUUCAUGGUCUUUCUAGUUUAAAGUAUAGAUUUUUCUUUUAAGACU